rnacentral:rRNA from 1 species
UAGGGAAUCUUCGGCAAUGGGGGCAACCCUGACCGAGCAACGCCGCGUGAGUGAAGAAGGUUUUCGGAUCGUAAAGCUCUGUUGUAAGAGAAGAACGUGUGUGAGAGUGGAAAGUUCACACAGUGACGGUAACUUACCAGAAAGGGACGGCUAACUACGUGCCAGCAGCCGCGGUAAUACGUAGGUCCCGAGCGUUGUCCGGAUUUAUUGGGCGUAAAGCGAGCGCAGGCGGUUUAAUAAGUCUGAAGUUAAAGGCAGUGGCUUAACCAUUGUUCGCUUUGGAAACUGUUAAACUUGAGUGCAGAAGGGGAGAGUGGAAUUCCAUGUGUAGCGGUGAAAUGCGUAGAUAUAUGGAGGAACAACGGUGGCGAAAGCGGCUCUCUGGUCUGUAACUGACGAUGAGGCUCGAAAGCGUGGGGAGCAAACAGG